CAUUAUGUUAAUGGUCUCAAUGAUGAAACAUUUGACCUCAAUACAAAUUUUCUGUUCCCAAAACCGGAAUCUGAUACGAACAGAGUGGACUAAGUUUUGUAGAUUUUACCCUUUGCCAGAGUCUUAAAAACUUGCAUUGUUAAGAAGGACUACAUGGGAGAAUUGAGUUGUUGCACAAGCUAACGUCACAGAAUAGGCUUUCCCUAAUGGAAAUAUGCAAAUACCUGCUAGAAAGCACUACCCAUACACCGGCCUACAAUAGAAGUUUACACUGCUCAUUUUGCUCAUAUUUAGCAGAUUCCAGUUCCAGAUAUACACCUACUGUGUAAAUUCUACUCAGAUGCUACUUUAGACUGAGGGAGGAUUGCUGCGUAGUGGACGCAAGUUCCUGUUUUGCAGAAAAUGUGCUCCUUCACAUUCAGGUUGGUGGAUGGUGGUCUCAUGUUCCUGCUCCUCAGUUUGACUAGGAUUUCUGCCCAGAGAGAAAUGUCCUUAAACCCCACUACAAUAGGUCAUUACACAGAGUCCCCAUGUCAACUAUUUGACAAGUAUGAAACUACUGUGACAGAGGGGGAGGCCCUUAGUUUGCCAGCCUACUAUGACCUGAGUGAGUUGGUUUGGGCCAGCGUGACUGAGACUGUCUCUCGGUCCCUCUCUCUUCUCUCUCUCUCGGUCUCUCUCUCUGUCUCUCGGUCUCUCUCUGUCUCUCGGUCUCUCUCUGUGUCUGUCUCUGUCUGUCUCUCUCUCUCUUUCUCUCUCUCUCUCUCUCUCUCUGUCUCUCUGUCUCUCUCUGUCUCGCUCUCUGUCUCUCUGUCUCUCUGUCUCUCUCGGUCUCGCUCUCUCUCUCUCUCUCUUGGUCUCUCUCUCUCGGUCUCCCUCUCUGUCUCUCUGGGUCUCUCUGGGUCUCUCUGGGUCUCUCUCUGUCUCUCUCUCUCUCUGGGUCUCUCUGAGUCUCUCUCUGUCUCUGUCUGUCUCUCUCUCUGUCUCUCGGUCUCCCUCUCUGUCUCUCUGGGUCUCUCUGGGUCUCUCUCUGAGUCUCUCUCUGUCUCUGUCUGUCUCUCUCUCUGUCUCUCGGUCUCUCUCUCUGUCUCUCUCUCUCUUCUCUCUCUCUCUCUCUCUCUCGGUCUCUCUCUGUCUCUGUCUCUCUCUCUCCCUCUCUCUCUCGGUCUCUCUCUGUCUCUCGGUCUCUCUCUGUCUCUCGGUCUCUCUCUCUUCUCUCUCUCUCGGUCUCUCUCUGUCUCUCGGUCUCUCUCUCUCUCUCUCGGUCUCUCUCUGUCUCUCUGUUCCACCUAAUGCAAGACAAUGCUAGACUCAUGUGGCUGGAGUGUGUCAGCAGUUCCUGCAAGAGGAAGGCACUGAUGCUAUGGACUGGCCCGCCCGUUCCCCAGACCUGAAUCCAAUUGAGCACAUCUGGGAUAUCAUGUCUCGCUCCAUCCACCAACAGACUGUCCAGGAGUUGGCGGAUGCUUUAGUCCAGGUCUGGGAGGAUAUCCCUCAGGAGACCAUCCGCCACCUCAUCAGGAGCAUGCCCAGGCGUUGUAGGGAGGUCAUACAGGCACGUGGAGGCCACACACUACUGAGCCUCAUUUUGACUUGUUUUAAGGACAUUACAUCAAAGUUGGAUCAGCCGGUAGUGUGGUUUUCCACUUUAAUUUUGAGUGUGACUCCAAAUCCAGACCUCCAUGGGUUGAUAAAUUUGAUUUCCAUUGAUCAUUUUUGUGUGAUUUUGUUGUCAGCACAUUCAACUAUGUAAAGAAAAAAGUAUUUAAUACGAAUAUUUAAUUCAUUCAGAUAUAGGAUGUGUUAUUUUAGUGUUCCCUAUAUUUUUUUGAGCAGUGUAUAUUACUCCUAUAGAAUUUUCAAAAGAUCAAAAGAGUCCAUAUUAACAAAGGAAAUUGAAGGACUAACAGUACAGUUAGAUAGCAAUAAAAACGGUACUAAUAGAGGCACAGAAUAAGUUAGAGGAAAAAUAAAUUGAGGAACUUAUUCAAGAAAGAUCCCAUGUAAUAUAUUAUAAAAAUAAAGCGAACUGGAUGGAAUAUGGGGAAAAACGCACCAAAUUCUUUUUCAAUCUUCAAUAUAGAAAUGCUACCAACUUUUUUUUAUAGAAACGUGUAACAAAUGGAGUCAUGCAUGAUUCACCAAAUGAUAUUUUGAAAGAGGAAAUAAAGUA